UAACUUUUAACAAGAAUCGACACUCAGAACCUCACCAAACAACAUAUAUAAGUAAAAAUGACUUGGUAAAAAAUAACUGCAAGGGUCUAAUGUCUAGAAACUCGCUUGAUAAAAACAAAAAAUGACCAGGUAGAAAUAUCUGAAGUUAAACACUCAGCCCAUGGUCUAUUGUUUGUCUGUCAAUAACUCACAAUUGGGUAGUUUUCUAGCACAAUUGCUUAACCAUUUCAAGGGAUUAACACCCCAAAUGCUCACCUGUGGUGACCUGUCUUAUGGAGAUCUUUGGCGAAGAUUGUCUUAAUAAUUUUAUUAUGGGACUAAUACCCAGAGACUCACCUAGCAGUAACCUGCCUUGUGGCAUUUUUUAGUAGAGGUUGCCUUAAUUAUUUUAUUAUAGGACUAACACUUAGAGACUUGCCUGGUGACCCGUCA
rnacentral:lncRNA from 1 species